rnacentral:rRNA from 1 species
CCUUUGUACACACCGCCCGUCGCUACUACCGAUUGAAUGGCUCAGUGAGGCUUCCGGACUGGCCUAAGGAGGUCGGCAACUACCACUCAGGGCCGGAAAGCUCUCCAAACUCGGUCAUUUAGAGG